rnacentral:rRNA from 1 species
GUCCACGCCGUAAACGAUGGGUACUAGGUGUCUGGGGAGCGACCCCUGGGUGCCGGCGCUAACGCAUGAAGUACCCCGCCUGGGGAGUACGGCCGCAAGGCUGAAACUCAAAGGAAUUGACGGGGGCCCGCACAAGCGGUGGAGCAUGUGGUUUAAUUCGACGCAACGCGAAUAACCUUACCUGGGCUUGACAUGCUGGAGAAAGCUCCCAGAAACGGGAGCCCCUCUUCGGAGUUCCAGCACAGAUGCUGCAUGGCUGUCGU